rnacentral:rRNA from 1 species
GAAACGGUAGCUAAUACCGCAUAACGUCGCAAGACCAAAGAGGGGGACCCUCGGGCCUCUUGCCAUCGGAUGUGCCCAGAUGGGAUUAGCUUGUUGGUGGGGUAACGGCUCACCAAGGCGACGAUCCCUAGCUGGUCUGAGAGGAUGACCAGCCACACUGGAACUGAGACACGGUCCAGACUCCUACGGGAGGCAGCAGUGGGGAAUAUUGCACAAUGGGCGCAAGCCUGAUGCAGCCAUGCCGCGUGUAUGAAGAAGGCCUUCGGGUUGUAAAGUACUUUCAGCGGGGAGGAAGGGAGUAAAGUUAAUACCUUUGCUCAUUGACGUUACCCGCAGAAGAAGCACCGGCUAACUCCGUGCCAGCAGCCGCGGUAAUACGGAGGGUGCAAGCGUUAAUCGGAAUUACUGGGCGUAAAGCGCACGCAGGCGGUUUGUUAAGUCAGAUGUGAAAUCCCCGGGCUCAACCUGGGAACUGCAUCUGAUACUGGCAAGCUUGAGUCUCGUAGAGGGGGGUAGAAUUCCAGGUGUAGCGGUGAAAUGCGUAGAGAUCUGGAGGAAUACCGGUGGCGAAGGCGGCCCCCUGGACGAAGACUGA